rnacentral:rRNA from 1 species
GCUUGCUUCUUGGGGUUGUAGGACACUCUAUACGGAGUUACAAAAGAAAGUUAUAAAUGAAGCGGUCUGGAAAGGCCCGCCAAAGACGGUAACAGCCCGGUAGUUGAAAUGGCUUUCCCUCCAGAGUGGAUCCUGAGUACGGCGGAACACGUGAAAUUCCGUCGGAAUCCGGGAGGACCAUCUCCCAAGGCUAAAUACUCCCUAGUGACCGAUAGUGAACCAGUACCGUGAGGGAAAGGUGAAAAGCACCCCGGAAGGGGAGUGAAACAGUUCCUGAAACCGUGUGCCUACAAGUAGUUAGAGCCCGUUAAUGGGUGAUAGCGUGCCUUUUGUAGAAUGAACCGGCGAGUUACGAUUUGUUGCAAGGUUAAGCGGAAAAAGCGGAGCCGUAGCGAAAGCGAGUCUGAAUAGGGCGCAUAAGUAACAGGUCGUAGACCCGAAACCAGGUGAUCUACCCAUGUCCAGGAUGAAGGUAAGGUAAUACUUACUGGAGGUCCGAACCCACGCACGUUGAAAAGUGCGGGGAUGAGGUGUGGGUAGCGGAGAAAUUCCAAUCGAACUUGGAGAUAGCUGGUUCUCUCCGAAAUAGCUUUAGGGCUAGCCUCGAGGUAAAGAGUCAUGGAGGUAGAGCACUGUUUGGACUAGGGGCCCUUCUCGGGUUACCGAAUUCAGAUAAACUCCGAAUGCCAUGUACUUAUACUCGGGAGUCAGACUGCGAGUGAUAAGAUCCGUAGUCGAAAGGGAAACAGCCCAGACCACCAGUUAAGGUCCCCAAAUAUAUGUUAAGUGGAAAAGGAUGUGGGGUUGCUUAGACAACCAGGAUGUUGGCUUAGAAGCAGCCACCAUUGAAAGAGUGCGUAAUAGCUCACUGGUCGAGUGACCCCGCGCCGAAAAUGUACCGGGGCUAAACAUAUUACCGAAACUGUGGAUGAACCUCUUUAGAGGUUCGUGGUAGGAGAGCGUUCUAAGGGCGGUGAAGUCAGACCGGAAGGACUGGUGGAGCGCUUAGAAGUGAGAAUGCCGGUAUGAGUAGCGAAAGAAGGGUGAGAAUCCCUUCCACCGAAUAUCUAAGGUUUCCUGAGGAAGGCUCGUCCGCUCAGGGUUAGUCGGGACCUAAGCCGAGGCCGAUAGGCGUAGGCGAUGGACAACAGGUAGAGAUUCCUGUACCAGUGCUAAUUGUUUAACCGAUGGGGUGACACAGAAGGAUAGGGAAUCGCACGAAUGGAAAUGUGCGUCCAAGCAGUGAGUGUGAGAAGUAGGCAAAUCCGCUUCUCGCGAAGCAUGAGCUGUGAUGGGGAAGGAAAUUAAGUACGGAAGUUCCUGAUUUCACGCUGUCAAGAAAAGCCUCUAGGAAGAGUAGUACUGCCCGUACCGCAAACCGACACAGGUAGAUGAGGAGAGAAUCCUAAGGUGAGCGAGAGAACUCUCGUUAAGGAACUCGGCAAAAUGACCCCGUAACUUCGGGAGAAGGGGUGCUCUAUUAGGGUGCAAGCCCGAGAGAGCCGCAGUGAAUAGGCCCAGGCGACUGUUUAGCAAAAACACAGGUCUCUGCA